rnacentral:tRNA from 1 species
AGCUCAGUGGUCCAGUGGUAAAGCGCUCGUCGUGGAACCAGAAGGUCCUGGGUUCGAUCCCUCAACGGGGUCG